rnacentral:ncRNA from 10 species
UAGUUGCAUAAAGAGAAGGAAACUUCAGCAACCUAGUAGCCAACUAAGGUGCUUUUUGAUGUGGUUAAAUAACAAAAAAUGGCUUCUU